rnacentral:misc_RNA from 1 species
AAAAAAUGUCAACAUACAUAUGUUACAUAACAUCAGGUGAAGUGGAAAAUACAAGACAUCUUCCCUGGUGGUUUUCCACCUAUGCAAGCAUGAUACAAGUUCAAGACACAAGAUAAAUUGAAAAAUUGAGUGUGGAAGUCUAAGUGUAUAAAGGGCCACACUAUGUCAAAAGGUAGGGUUAAAGGGCCGUCCGUAGGGAUCGACCUAGGUACCACGUACUCCUGCGUCGGGAUAUUUCAGCAUGGAAAGGUGGAAAUCAUAGCCAACGAUCAGGGAAAUCGAGUCACACCGAGUUAUGUCGCGUUUACGGACACGGAGCGGCUUGUCGGUGACCCGGCUAAAAAUCAAGCCGCCAUGAAUCCUACAAACACUGUAUACGAUGCAAAAAGGAUGAUAGGCAGACGAUUCGACGAUCCGACCUUAGUUAACGACAGAAAAAUGUGGCCUUUUAAAGUUGCAAGCAAAGAUGGAAAACCCGUUAUUGUGGUGGAAUACAAGAAAGAAACCAAAGAAUUUUACCCUGAGGAAAUUUCCAGCAUGGUCCUGGUUAAGAUGAGAGAAACUGCAGAAGCAUACUUAGGGAAAAAGGUAAAUAAUGCAGUUAUCACAGUACCUGCAUAUUUUAAUGAUUCGCAACGCCAAGCGACUAAGGAUGCCGGAGCUAUUGCUGGUCUCGACGUCCUUAGGAUAAUAAACGAACCGACUGCUGCUGCUGUCGCAUACGGUCUAGACAAGAGGAAAUCUGGAGACAUGAACGUAUUGAUAUUUGACCUCGGUGGGGGAACUUUCGACGUGUCUGUUUUGACAAUCGCAGACGGUGUGUUUGAAGUGAAAUCUACAGCCGGGGACACCCAUUUAGGAGGAGAGGAUUUCGACAACCGGAUGGUCAUGUAUUUUGCCGACGAAUUCAAAAGGAAGCAUAAGAAAGAUUUCACGGAAAACAAAAGGGCGAUGAGGAGGAUGCAGACUGCCUGCGAGAGGACGAAGAGAACGCUGAGCUCUGCGACGCAGAGUAAUAUCGAAAUCGACUCUCUUUUCGAAGGAAUAGACUUCUACUCGACGAUAACGAGGGCUAAAUUUGAAGAGCUGAACGGAGAUCUGUUUCGGAGCACUUUGGACCCGGUAGAGAAAGCUCUGACAGAUUCGAAAAUAAAGAAAAACAAAAUCGACGAGGUCGUACUCGUCGGUGGUUCGACUCGGAUACCUAAAAUACAGAACAUGCUUAAAGAAUAUUUCAACGGGAAGGAGUUGAACAAAUCUAUUAACCCGGACGAAGCGGUGGCGUACGGUGCCGCCGUCCAAGCGGCCAUUAUACAAGGCGACACUUCAGAAGAAGUCAGAGACGUCCUUCUGCUGGACGUCACACCUUUGUCUCUGGGGAUUGAAACAGCCGGCGGGGUCAUGACCACCUUAAUCAACAGGAACACCACCAUUCCGACGAAACAUUCGCAAAUUUUCAGCACCUACGCUGACAAUCAGCCGGGGGUCUUCAUACAAGUCUACGAAGGAGAACGUGCUCUAACGAAGGAUAACAACCUUCUUGGCACGUUCGAAUUGUCGGGGUUUCCUCCAGCGCCUAGGGGAGUACCGCAGAUCGAGGUUACCUUUGACGUAGACGCAAAUGGAAUUUUAAACGUAUCCGCGGUCGAAAAAGCGACGGGAAGAACUAACAACGUCACCAUUACGAACGAUAAAGGACGGCUGAACAAAACUGAAAUAGAACGGAUGGUAAAAGAUGCGGAAAAGUUCAAAACUGAAGACGAAAAAGUGAGACUGUCCAUUUCCGCUAGGAACGAGUUGGAGAGCUACGUUUACGCUAUGAAAACCGCCAUCGACAACAUCAACAUGUCAGACCGCAGGUGCUCAAUAUCGGAAGAUGAUAAAAAAACAGUGAUGAGGAAAUGCAACGAAACCAGCAUGUGGUUAGAAGCGAAUAAGUCUGCGAAAAAAGAGGAUUACGAAAAGAAAUUAAAAGACAUCAAAGAAGUCUGCGAACCUAUUGCGAAAAAGUUUUACUGCACCACAGGAAGAGCCGGCGGAUCGGGAAAUUGCAAUUCCAGUGCUGGCCCGACUAUUGAAGAAGUCGAAUGAACACUGACGAAAUUCUCUAACAUAUUUAUAUAUCACAACUGUUCACAAACCGUAUUAACAGUAAUCGUAUUUUUGGCCUUUGAAACCUUCCUCGCAUGGACUUUCGAGUUGACCGGAUUUCCACCGGCGCCGAGAGGGAUACCCCAAAUCGAAGUCUCUUUCGACAUCGACGCCAAUGGAAUACUGAACGUGGCAGCGACGGAGAAGGCGACGGGGAAAAUAAACAAAAUAACCAUCACAAACGACAAAGGGCGUCUCAACAAGAACGAAAUCGAAAGGAUUGUGAAAGAGGCGGACAAAUUCAAAAACGAAGACGAGCUGCUCAAAACGACAAUAGAGUCCAGGAACCAGCUUGAAAACUACAUUUACGCCAUGAAAUCCGCU